UGCCCAGCAACUCCUAUCCCAACCUCCGCGUGGUACUGGCUGGAAAUUAUGAGCAUCCUUAGGGAGGAACGGGUAAACAACCCCAAUGGGAACUAUGGUCGUAGGCUGACAGGGAAGG
rnacentral:ribozyme from 1 species